rnacentral:tRNA from 1 species
AUUAUUCUUACUUAAAAGUAUUUAUGGUUUGAACCCAUAAUUUAGAAGAAAAAUCUUCUGAAUAAUU